UGCCAACAGUAAUGACGGGGGCUGGA
rnacentral:piRNA from 1 species